rnacentral:rRNA from 1 species
GACGGAGGGAGCUAGCGUUGUUCGGAAUUACUGGGCGUAAAGAGCGCGUAGGCGGUCUGGUAAGUUGGGAGUGAAAAGCCCGGGGGCUUAACCUCGGAAUUGCUUUCAAAACUGCCGGUCUAGAGUGUAGUAGGGGAUGAUGGAAUUCCUGGUGUAGAGGUGAAAUUCUUAGAUAUCAGGAGGAACACCGGCGGCGAAGGCGGUCAUCUGGGCUACAACUGACGCUGAUGCGCGAAAGCGUGGGGAGCAAACAGG